UAGUCAUAUGCUUGUCUCAAAGAUUAAGCCAUGCAUUUCUAAGUACAAGCCUCACUAAGGUGAAACCGCGAAUGGCUCAUUAAAUCACACCUAAUUUACUGGAUAGUUAACAGUUACUUGGAUAACUGCGGUAAUUCUGGAGCUAAUACAUGCACAAAGCCCCGAACUUACGUGAGGGGCGCUUUUAUUAGAUCAAAACCAAACGGCUUCGGCUGUAUCCUUGGUGACUCUGAAUAACUUUGGGCUGAUCGCAUGGCCUAGCGCCGGCGACAUAUCCUUCGAAGGUGUGCCCUAUCAACUGUCGACUGUGGCAUAGACGCCCACAGUGGUUUUGACGGGUAACGGGGAAUCAGGGUUCGAUUCCGGAGAGGGAGCCUUAAAAACGGCUACCACAUCUAAGGAAGGCAGCAGGCACGCAAAUUACCCAAUGACCGAAGGUCGAGGUAGUGACAAAAAAUAACGAUACGGGACUCAUCUGAGGCCCCGUAAUCGGAAUGAGUACACUUUAAAACCGUCCCCGAGGAUCUAUU
rnacentral:rRNA from 1 species